CCUACGGGUGGCAGCAGUGAGGAAUAUUGGUCAAUGGGCUUACGCCUGAACCAGCCAAGUCGCGUGAGGGAAGACUGCCCUAUGGGUUGUAAACCUCUUUUGUCAGGGAGCAAUUGGCGCUACGUGUAGCGUUAUCGAGAGUACCUGAAGAAAAAGCAUCGGCAAACUCCGUGCCAGCAGCCGCGGUAAUACGGAGGAUGCGAGCGUUAUCCGGAUUUAUGGGUUUAAAGGGUGCGUAGGCGGAAUGCCAAGUAAGCGGUAAAAUUGCGGGGCUCAACCUCGCUCCGCCGUUGAAACUGGCGUUCUUGAGUGGGCGAGAAGUAUGCGGAAUGCGUGGUGUAGCGGUGAAAUGCAUAGAUAUCACGCAGAACUCCGAUUGCGAAGGCAGCAUACCGGCGCCCAACUGACGCUGAAGCACGAAAGCGUGGGUAUCGAACAGGAUUAGAUACCCGGGUAGUC
rnacentral:rRNA from 1 species